rnacentral:rRNA from 1 species
AUUGAACGCUGGCGGAAUGCUUUACACAUGCAAGUCGAACGGUAGAGGGGGCAACCCCUUGAGAGUGGCGAACGGGUGAGUAAUAUAUCGGAACGUGCCCAGUCGUGGGGGAUCACGUAGCGAAAGUUACGCUAAUACCGCAUACGAUCUAAGGAUGAACGCGGGGGAUCGCACGACCUCGCGCGACUGGAGCGGCCGAUAUCAGAUUAGGUAGUUGGUAGGGUAAAGGCCUACCAAGCCAACGAUCUGUAGCUGGUCUGAGAGGACGACCAGCCACACUGGAACUGAGACGCGGUCCAGACUCCUACGGGAGGCAGCAGUAGGGAAUUUUGGACAAUGGGCGAAAGCCUGAGCCAGCCAUUCCGCGUGCAGGAUGAAGGCCCUCGGGUUGUAAACUGCUUUUGUACAGAACGAAAAGGUUUCUAUUAAUACUAGGAGCUCAUGACGGUACUGUAAGAAUAAGCACCGGCUAACUACGUG